rnacentral:sRNA from 1 species
AAUGUUGGAAACCGAUCUGAUUCCAAGGAUUGAGAAGUUUUGCAGUGGUCAACUGGUAUAGACAUCCCAUUACCACUACUUCCUUCAUUGGACUGCAAGGUAUUUCUGUUUGGAAAAGUAAUGGAGUCCAGUCAACUUCAUUGAUCUCCAAGGACUGUCAAAAUUAUAAAACUUGCUGUGGAGCUCUGACAUGCCAGAAGCCGCUAGAAAAAGAAGUUUGACAUUCAGAAACUUAUCAAGAGGUUCUACUCUUUGGAUAGAGACCAAAAUAAUACUUUGAAUGAUAUGCAGUACAAGACUCCCAAGAUUCUGGGCAGUGGCAGGGAGGUGCAGCUUCUAGUCUGCCACAUGAUCACAAUGUCAGCUGGUCCCUCUUCUCAGGUGUAGAUCACCUAUUAUAAUUUUACCUAAUUUUGAUACUCUGAUAAGGAAAGUCCCAGGACUUAUCAGCUGGGAUAGGCCUCACUUACAAGACAGCUCUGUUCAGUAUUUGGAAGAAAGCCUGACAGGUUUCUUCGGAAAAGUGGCCAUCCAUGGAAUGAAUGAAAUGUUCUCUUUCUAUUCCACCUCAAGAGACCAUCAAAAAACAAUGGCUCAUAAUGCUUUUAGAACAGAAACUGAAGUUGUGUACUGUGCAUGUAUAAUCCUACACAAGAGGAAGGCAAUGUUUAAAGCUGCUGUCACCUCUUAGGGAAAAAACUGGAAUUCUGAGUCAA